GAGCGAUUACCGUCAAGAUCGAGCUUCUCAAGCUCAUCAGUGUCCUUGGUGCCUCCCACGACUCCUGCAGCAUGCCUCUGAUGGAUCAAACCACAAUUCCUGAGCAACACACCUCCGAUGCAAGCAUGGCAAUCUGCUGCUGCUGAUGAUGAAUUGCAAGACAAGAGCCAAAAGGGGCCAAUGCAGACCUGGCAACUUGUUUCUCAACCACUGGGGCACCCAGCUGCUGCCAGUGCUCGCCUCUGCAGCCUCAGAGAAUGGCCUGCUUCUGAAUGCGAUGCUCAAUGCUUCCUUCUGGCAUGUGGUAGCUUUAUUGUCUUUGCAGAUCCUGCACAGAAACUGCAGCGAAUGGUGCCGCUUUACAAGGAAACCUGCCGUCCGGUGCAUCUCAAGGCUAUGCUGACUGGCGCUGUGAAUGCGGGAUCUGGUGAUGGUAAAUAUAAGUCACUAAAACAAUUUCAUCAAGUCACGAGCAGUGCGCAAAUUUUCUAAGUAUCAGAGUCAUGCAUCUCUUUCUGACAAACAGUACUAGCACAGCUGCCCUCUACAGAGAACAAGGAGAAAGCCCCGAUGUCUACAAAACAUUACUUAAUCAGAAUUCUUCAAGAAAAAACAACUUCUCAA
rnacentral:lncRNA from 1 species